GAAAUGCGAUAAGUAAUGUGAAUUGCAGAAUUCAGUGAAUCAUCGAAUCUUUGAACGCACAUUGCGCCCCUUGGUAUUCCGGGGGGCAUGCCUGUUCGAGCGUCAUUUCAACCCUCAAGCUCUGCUUGGUAUUGGGCACCGUCCUUUGCGGGCGCGCCUCAAAGACCUCGGCGGUGGCGUCUUGCCUCAAGCGUAGUAGAAACGCGAACUCGUGAGCCCGUCCGGGCGGCUCCCAGAAGCUACACCCACCCAGUUUGACCUCGGAUCAGGUAGGGAUACCCGCUGAACUUAAGC
rnacentral:misc_RNA from 1 species